CAGGCAUUGACAUCAUUUAAGAAGUUACAUCCUGGACAUCGCAAAGAAGAGAUAGAAACUUGCAUCAGAAAAGCUGCUUCUUUCAUUGAGAGCAUACAAACGCCUGAUGGUUCCUGGUAUGGAUCUUGGGCUGUAUGCUUCACCCACGGCAUAUGGUUUGGGGUCAAGGGACUGCUAACUGCCGGGAGAACCUAUCAGAGUAGCUCUGCCGUCCGUAAAGCAUGCAAUUUUCUAUUGUCAAAACAACUACCUUCUGGUGGUUGGGGAGAAAGCUAUCUUUCAUGUCAAAAUAAGG
rnacentral:misc_RNA from 1 species